rnacentral:rRNA from 1 species
UACGGGGGGAGCAAGCGUUGUUCGGAUUUACUGGGCGUAAAGGGCGCGUAGGCGGCCACUGCAAGUCGGUUGUGAAAUCUCCGGGCUUAACCCGGAAAGGUCAACCGAUACUGCAGGGCUAGAGUGCAGAAGGGGCAACUGGAAUUCUCGGUGUAGCGGUGAAAUGCGCAGAUAUCAGGAGGAACACCGGUGGCGAAGGCGGGUCUCUGGGCCGAUAUUGACGCUGAGGAGCGAAAGCGUGGGGAGCGAACAGG